UGGGGAAUUUUGGACAAUGGGCGCAAGCCUGAUCCAGCCAUGCCGCGUGCGGGAAGAAGGCCUUCGGGUUGUAAACCGCUUUUGUCAGGGAAGAAAUCUUCUGAGUUAAUACCUCGGGAGGAUGACGGUACCUGAAGAAUAAGCACCGGCUAACUACGUGCCAGCAGCCGCGGUAAUACGUAGGGUGCAAGCGUUAAUCGGAAUUACUGGGCGUAAAGCGUGCGCAGGCGGUUUUGUAAGACAGAGGUGAAAUCCCCGGGCUCAACCUGGGAACUGCCUUUGUGACUGCAAGGCUUGAGUGCGGCAGAGGGGGAUGGAAUUCCGCGUGUAGCAGUGAAAUGCGUAGAUAUGCGGAGGAACACCGAUGGCGAAGGCAAUCCCCUGGGCCUGCACUGACGCUCAUGCACGAAAGCGUGGGGAGCAAACAGGAUUAGAUAGCCCUGGUAGUCCACGCCCUAAACGAUGUCAACUGGUUGUUGGGAAGGUUCCUUCUCAGUAACGUAGCUAACGCGUGAAGUUGACCGCCUGGGGAGUACGGCCGCAAGGUUGAAAC
rnacentral:rRNA from 1 species